AUACGUAGGGUGCGAGCGUUGUCCGGAAUUACUGGGCGUAAAGAGCUCGUAGGUGGUUUGUCGCGUCGUCUGUGAAAUUCCGGGGCUUAACUCCGGGCGUGCAGGCGAUACGGGCAUAACUUGAGUACUGUAGGGGAGACUGGGAUUCCUGGUGUAGCGGUGAAAUGCGCAGAUAUCAGGAGGAACACCGGUGGCGAAGGGGGGUCUCUGGGCAGUAACUGACGCUGAGGAGCGAAAGCAUGGGUAGCGAACAGGAUUAGAUACCCUGGUAGUCCAUGCCGUAAACGGUGGGCGCUAGGUGUAGGGGUCUUCCACGACUUCUGUGCCGUAGCUAACGCAUUAAGCGCCCCGCCUGGGGAGUACGGCCGCAAGGCUAAAACUCAAAUGAAUUGGCGGGG
rnacentral:rRNA from 1 species